CAGGCGGUGUCGCAUGCGCUGUGGUAGGGAUUUGGGCGCUGCCUGGUUUGCCACGCAGGUUCUUGCGGUUGGGGGUCUUGUUCUGACACCGAGGGCGCCGGACGGGGGAGUCUGUCAGUCUCGGCGGCAGGGGGGCAUCUUGGGGCCCACAUGAGCCAAUGGCUUCAAUGCCCGCCGCGGCCAGGUCCACGGACCCCUCUUUUGCGGACCUUCUUCAGCCAAGAGGAAGGGCAGAAACCACGUUCCCGAAAGGUCCGCACGUAAUGAAUUUGAUGACUUCAGUUGUAUGAGAACUAAAAAUAAACCGUGAAGUGAAAGAACUGAAUCUAAACGAUUUCCGUCAGCAUAGUUUGGAGAAGAAUCUUGCUCCAGAAGAAUGUUUUCACCCUUGGAUGUUUUUCUAGCAAAAUCUGAGAGCAGAAUGAAGAACUUGGACUGAUUAUUGAUGUAACACACACUCGCCACUAAUACAAACCAGAGGCCUACCUCGGAGAUCUUGCGGGUUCUGUUCCAGGUCACUGAAUAAAGUGAAUAUCGCAAUAUAAACAUUCCCUUUUAUGCCCCCCCUCCCCUGGCUCACCCCCUCCAGGUGCCCUACAAGCCUCCCAAGAUGCGACUCUGGACCCUUGGGCACAUACGUCCUGCCCUCGUGGAGCAGCGACCCAGUGCUCACGUGCUCCCACCGCUCUCCUGCCCUGUGAUCGACGCUUCCAGUGGAUUUUUCUUGUGUGCUUUUGGAUGGAUGGCGAUGUUUAGAGAGGGCAGAAACAGACCAGGUGGAUUGCGGGAGGCCCUGGCAGGCGCCUCAAGUUAAUGUUUAUGAAGAGAUGUUUU
rnacentral:lncRNA from 1 species